rnacentral:lncRNA from 1 species
GCUCUGGCUCCUUGAGCCUCCGGGUUGAAGGCAUGCUGGCCUGAGACCCUGCCACGGCCUGGAUGGAGAGUACCGGGUUGCCCAAACAAGGGUAAAGUCCCCUUCCUCCUACCCAGGUGCCCAGGACAGGUGGCGCGGCACGUACCUGCCUCUUCUCCGAGGAUGGACGAGUCGAGCCGGGAACAGGCAUGGAGCUGCGGGCGAGUCGCGGCUGGUACUGGCGCGGCGCAGUGAGCGGCAGCUGACGCAGAGGGCUCCCUGGCCUCGGCUCCUGCCCGCCUCUCCCCCACCUCCGCCCGGGGCCCCGAAAGG